rnacentral:rRNA from 1 species
GAGGAAUAAGCAUCGGCUAACUCCGUGCCAGCAGCCGCGGUAAUACGGGGGAUGCAAGCGUUAUCCGGAAUCAUUGGGCGUAAAGCGCCUGUAGGUUGUUUAAUAAGUCUGUUGUUAAAGACUAGGGCUUAACCCUAGAAAAGCAAUGGAAACUACUAGACUAGAGUAUGGCAGGGGUAGAGGGAAUUUCUAGUGUAGCGGUGAAAUGCGUAGAUAUUAGAAAGAACACCGGUGGCGAAAGCGCUCUACUGGACCAUUACUGACACUCAGAGGCGAAAGCUAGGGUAGCAAAAGGGAUUAGAUACCCCUGUAGUCCUAGCCGUAAACGAUGGAUACUAGAUGUUGUGUUUUAUAUACAGUAUCGUAGCUAACGCGUUAAGUAUCCCGCCUGGGGAGUACGCUCGCAAGGGUGAAACUCAAAGGAAUUGACGGGGGCCCGCACAAGCGGUGGAGCAUGUGGUUUAAUUCGAUGCAACGCGAAGAACCUUACCAGGGCUUGACAUACUACAGAUUCUUUAGAGAUAGAGAAGUGCCUUCGGGAAUGUAGAUACAGGUGGUGCAUGGCUGUCGUCAGCUCGUGUCGUGAGAUGUUGGGUUAAGUCCCGCAACGAGCGCAACCCUUAUUUUUAGUUACCAAUUCGUUGGGUUCUCUAGAAAGACUGCCGGUGACAAACCGGAGGAAGGUGAGGAUGACGUCAAGUCAGCAUGCCCCUUAUGUCCUGGGCUACACACGUGCUACAAUGGCUAAGACAAAGAGUUGCGAGCUCGCGAGAGUAAGCUAAUCUCAUAAACUUAGCCUAAGUUCAGAUUGUAGGCUGCAACUCGCCUACGUGAAG